rnacentral:tRNA from 1 species
GGCGGUGAGGAGAUCGGUGCGUGCGUGUCGCCAGGUCUACGCGCGGGCGAUGUCGCGCCAUGGCGCCGCGCGCUGUUCGAGCCAGCGCAUCGCCU